rnacentral:pre_miRNA from 13 species
CUCCUGAACCUACUGAACAGAUAUCAGUUGGUAAAGCUCAUACUGGCUCAGUUCAGCAGGAACCGGAG